AAGUCGUAACAAGGUCUCCGUAGGUGAACCUGCGGAGGGAUCAUUACCGAGAGAGGGCGCCCCGCGCGCCCGACCUCCCAACCCUCUGUCGACCGUACCGCGUUGCCUCGGGCCGCCCUCGCGGCGCCCCAGAGGACACCAAUCGAAACUCUGCAUCUCAUGCGUCGGAGUCAUUAUGUGAAUCAAUCAAAACUUUCAACAACGGAUCUCUUGGUUCUGGCAUCGAUGAAGAACGCAGCGAAAUGCGAUAAGUAAUGUGAAUUGCAGAAUUCAGUGAAUCAUCGAAUCUUUGAACGCACAUUGCGCCCCCUGGCAUUCCGGGGGCAUGCCUGUUCGAGCGUCAUUACACCACUCAAGCCUGGCUUGGCGUUGGGCGACGGGGCCCCGGCCCCGCGCCUCAAAUUCACCGGCUGGACGGACCGUACCUCAGCGUUGUGGCACACAAGCUCGCUGCGGGGCGGCCCGGCCGCGCCGUCAAAACACCCACUCAAGGUUGACCUCGGAUCAGGUAGGGAUACCCGCUGAACUUAA
rnacentral:rRNA from 1 species